GUAGGGGCCAAGCGUUAUCCGGAUUUAUUGGGCGUAAAGAGCUCGUAGGCGGCUUGGCAAGUCGGUCGUGAAAGUCCGAGGCUCAACCUCGGAAUGCCGGUCGAAACUGCCAUGGCUAGGGUUCGGUAGAGGAGAGUGGAAUUCUCGGUGUAGCGGUGAAAUGCGCAGAUAUCGAGAGGAACACCAGUAGCGAAGGCGGCUCUCUGGGCCGAUACCGACGCUGAGGAGCGAAAGCGUGGGGAGCAAACAGGAUUAGAUACCCUGGUAGUCCACGCCGUAAACGGUGAUCACUAGGUGUGGCGGGCUCAUUGACGUCUGCUGUGCCGGCGCUAACGCAUUAAGUGAUCCGCCUGGGGAGUACGGCCGCAAGGCUA
rnacentral:rRNA from 1 species